UACGAAGGGGGCUAGCGUUGCUCGGAAUGACUGGGCGUAAAGGGCGCGUAGGCGGCACGACAAGUCGGGAGUGAAAGCCCGGGGCUCAACCCCGGAAUGUCUCUCGAAACUGUCGAGCUAGAGUGCAGAAGAGGCAACUGGAAUUCCCAGUGUAGCGGUGAAAUGCGUAGAUAUUGGGAAGAACACCUGAGGCGAAGGCGGGUUGCUGGGCUGACACUGACGCUGAGGCGCGAAAGCCAGGGGAGCGAACGGG
rnacentral:rRNA from 1 species